GGGUUGUGAGGUUAAGCGACUAAGCGUACACGGUGGAUGCCCUGGCAGUCAGAGGCGAUGAAGGGCGUGCUAAUCUGCGAUAAGCGCCGGUAAGGUGAUAUGAACCGUUAUAACCGGCGAUACCCGAAUGGGGAAACCCAGUGUGACUCGUCACACUAUCAUUAACUGAAUCCAUAGGUUAAUGAGGCGAACCGGGGGAACUGAAACAUCUAAGUACCCCGAGGAAAAGAAAUCAACCGAGAUUCCCCCAGUAGCGGCGAGCGAACGGGGAGGAGCCCAGAGCCUGAAUCAGCAUGUGUGUUAGUGGAAGCGUCUGGAAAGGCGCGCGAUACAGGGUGACAGCCCCGUACACAAAAGCGCAUGUGCUGUGAGCUCGAUGAGUAGGGCGGGACACGUGGUAUCCUGUCUGAAUAUGGGGGGACCAUCCUCCAAGGCUAAAUACUCCUGACUGACCGAUAGUGAACCAGUACCGUGAGGGAAAGGCGAAAAGAACCCCGGCGAGGGGAGUGAAAAAGAACCUGAAACCGUGUACGUACAAGCAGUGGGAGCACCCUUUGGGUGUGACUGCGUACCUUUUGUAUAAUGGGUCAGCGACUUAUAUUCUGUAGCAAGGUUAACCGAAUAGGGGAGCCGGAGGGAAACCGAGUCUUAAUUGGGCGUUAAGUUGCAGGGUAUAGACCCGAAACCCG
rnacentral:rRNA from 2 species